AUUGAACGCUGGCGGCAUGCUUUACACAUGCAAGUCGAACGGUAACAGGGUGCUUGCACCGCUGACGAGUGGCGAACGGGUGAGUAAUGCGUCGGAACGUGCCGAGUAGUGGGGGAUAACGCAGCGAAAGUUGUGCUAAUACCGCAUACGUACUGAGGUAGAAAGUGGGGGACCUUCGGGCCUCACGCUAUUCGAGCGGCCGACGUCUGAUUAGCUAGUAGGUGAGGUAAAGGCUCACCUAGGCGACGACCAGUGGCGGGUCUGAGAGGAUGAUCCGCCACACUGGGACUGAGACACGGCCCAGACUCCUACGGGAGGCAGCAGUGGGGAAUUUUGGACAAUGGGCGAAAGCCUGAUCCAGCCAUGCCGCGUGUCUGAAGAAGGCCUUCGGGUUGUAAAGGACUUUUGUCAGGGAGGAAAUCCCUAGUGCUAUUAACACUGGGGGAUGACAGUACCUGAAGAAUAAGCACCGGCUAACUACGUGCCAGCAGCCGCAGUAA
rnacentral:rRNA from 1 species